rnacentral:rRNA from 1 species
GUGCAGCAGGCGCGAAAUCUUCACAAUGUGCGAAAGCACGAUGAGGGGAUCCCAAGUGUUGGUUCGUAAGAAUCAUCUGUUUCUUUGUCUAAAAAACAGAGAGAGUAAGAGCUGGGUAAGACGGGUGCCAGCCGCCGCGGUAAUACCUGCAGCUCAAGUGGUGGCCGCUAUUAUUGGGCCUAAAACGUCCGUAGCCGGUUUAGUAAAUGCUUGGGUAAAUUGUGUAGCUCAACUAUACGAAUACCGAGUAGACUGCUGAACUUGGGACCGGGAGAGGCUAGAGGUACUCCUAGGGUAGAGGUGAAAUUCUGUAAUCCUAGGGGGACCACCAGUGGCGAAGGCGUCUAGCUAAAACGGGUCUGACGGUGAGGGACGAAGCCCUGGGGCGCAAACCGGAUUAGAUACCCCGGUAGUCC